rnacentral:rRNA from 1 species
GAUGAACGCUGGCGGCGUGCCUAAUACAUGCAAGUCGAGCGAACAGACGAGGAGCUUGCUCCUCUGACGUUAGCGGCGGACGGGUGAGUAACACGUGGAUAACCUACCUAUAAGACUGGGAUAACCUCGGGAAACCGGAGCUAAUACCGGAUAAUAUAUUGAACCGCAUGGUUCAAUAGUGAAAGACGGUUUUGCUGUCACUUAUAGAUGGAUCCGCGCCGCAUUAGCUAGUUGGUAAGGUAACGGCUUACCAAGGCAACGAUGCGUAGCCGACCUGAGAGGGUGAUCGGCCACACUGGAACUGAGACACGGUCCAGACUCCUACGGGAGGCAGCAGUAGGGAAUCUUCCGCAAUGGGCGAAAGCCUGGCGGAGCAACGCCGCGUGAGUGAUGAAGGUCUUCGGAUCGUAAAACUCUGUUAUUAGGGAAGAACAAAUGUGUAAGUAACUAUGCACGUCUUGACGGUACCUAAUCAGAAAGCCACGGCUAACUACGUG